CUAAGACUGCAAAAUUAUCUCUCUCCUUUUGCUGAGUUUGCAGAAGCAGACGAAGAAAGAUUGGACUGGACUUCAAUAAGGCCACAUGACUUGCAGUCUUUGUGGUAUAGCUUUGGAUCAAUAGAAAAGACUGGCACAGUUCCAAUUCAGAUUAAGGACUCUUCCUCCAAGCCUUCCUCUUGUAUGAAUAAAAGAACACAAGACACGGCAAGAGAUGCAAUACUUCAACUAAUUCUUCACAAGAAUGCAUCUCAACCGUAGCAACAUUUCUAAUCACAGCAGGAAAUUACUCCUCUUCUGGGGCUGCCAGAGACAGUUACAUAUCCACACUUGACAGCACUGAAAGGAACAGGAAGGAUUCGCACGUUUCACAACUAAUUCCUCGUUAAAGGGGUUUUUAAAAAAAAAAAAAUCUAUAAAAACAGUUUAGAAUAAAUGUGUUCUGUGGAUCUCUGGUAGUCCACAGAUCCAUUCCAGGUGUUCUGCAGUGCUGCUUAUA